AAUGAACGCUGGCGGCAGGCCUAACACAUGCAAGUCGAACGAUGGCUCAGGGCGUGGUGGCGCACGGGGGCGGAACGCGGCGGAAGGGGGCUGUCGGCUCGGAAUAACUCAGGGAAACGGGGGCUAACACCGGAAAACGUCGCAAAACCAAAGAUAUAUCACCGGAAGGUGCGCCCGGGUAGCUUUAGCUAGGUGGGGACGUAAAGGCCGACCAAGGCGACGAUCGUUAGCGGGUCUCAGAGAAUGGUCCGCCACACUGGGACUGGGCCACGGCCCAGACUACUGCAGAAGGCAGCAGUGCGUAAUCUUGGCCUAUCGGCUAGAGCCUGAACCACCUCUGCCGCGUGAGUGCUUAUGGCCUUAGGGAUGUACAGCUCUUUUACCCGGCACUAUACUGACGGUACCGGAAGAAUAAGCCCCGGCUAACUCCGUG
rnacentral:rRNA from 1 species